rnacentral:rRNA from 1 species
AUUGAACGCUGGCGGCAGGCUUAACACAUGCAAGUCGAACGAGUGGCGGACGGGUGAGUAAUGAUUGGGAAUCUGGCUUAUGGAGGGGGAUAACGACGGGAAACUGUCGCUACUACCGCGUACCAUAGGUUGAGCCCAAGUGGGAUUAGGUAGUUGGUGGGGUAACGGCCGACCAAGCCGACGAUCUCUAGCUGGUCUGAGAGGAUGAGCAGCCACACUGGGACUGAGACACGGCCCAGACUCCUACGGGAGGCAGCAGUGGGGAAUAUUGCGCAAUGGAGGCAAGCCUGACGCAGCCACGCCGCGUGAAUGAAGAAGGCCUUCGGGUUGUAAAGCUCUUUUGGUGGCGAGGCGUUAAUCACAGAAGAAGCACCGGCUAACUCCGUGCCAGCAGCCGCGGUAAUUC